AACGAACGCUGGCGGCAUGCCUAAAACAUGCAAGUCGAACGAGAUCUUCGGGUCUAGUGGCGCACGGGUGCGUAACGCGUGGGAAUCUGCCCUUUGGUUCGGAAUAACAGUCGGACACGACUGCUAAUACCGGAUGAUGACGACAGUCCAAAGGUUUAUCGCCAUAGGAUGAGCCCGCGUAGGAUUAGCUAGUUGGUGUGGUAAAGGUGCACCAAGGCGACGAUCCUUAGCUGGUCUGAGAGGAUGAUCAGCCACACUGGGACUGAGACCCGGCCCAGACUCCUACGGGAGGCAGCAGUGGGUAAUAGUGGACAAUGGGCGAAAGCCUGAUCCAGCAAUGCCGCGUGAAUGAUGAAGGCCUUAGGGUUGUAAAGCUCUUUUACCCGGGAUGAUAAUGACGGUACCGGAAGAAUAAGCUCCGGCUAACUCCGUGCCAGCCGCCGCCGUAA
rnacentral:rRNA from 1 species